AUGGCAACUUCGCCGACCGAUCUGGGAAACACGGUGGCGUUGCCGUGCCCCUCCCUCCCCGACGAUGUCAUCAUGGACAUUUUUGCACGGCUGCCGGCCAAGUUUGUGGGCCGGUGCCGCUAUCUCUCCCGCGCCUGGGCCGCCACGCUCUCCUCGGACGACUUCGCCGAUCGCCACCAUCACCUCGCCAACCACCGCCACAGCCCUAGGGUUUUCUUCUUGCAUCACUCGUCCCGCGACGGACCGUUGAUGCACGUCUGGUCGCCGCAGGACAGCCCAAACGGUGCACCAUCGACCUUGUAUGUUCCAAAGGCUGCCAACGCCGAAAGGGCUUUACGCAUCGCCACACUUGUGUGUCGUGGCCUUGCCAUCUUUCAAACACCCUGUACAGAAAUCAACUAUCUGUGCAACCCGUCAAGUGGUCAGAUGGCGGCACUCCCAGAGCAUGAGAAGAUGUUCUGGUACCAGGAUGAUGUUUUGGGUCGACAUUAUACGAGUCUAGGGCUCGGCUACGAUGCACAUACAAAGAAACAUAAAGUUGUGUGUGUCUACUAUGGGGGGCCCAGAUGUGAUAGCGAGGGAUUCCCAAGGUUCGCAGGAUGUGAUCUCUAUGUUGUCAAUUCAAAUGGCCGCUGGCGGCUGAUUCAAGGGAAGCCGCCCGCUUGGGUAAGACCUAACAUGGCGAGCAUCUUUGCACAAGGACAGGUGUAUUGGUUAGCCGAUCGGAAAAUCAACAUCAAACCUGCUGAGAUGGUCAUUGUAUCAUUCUCUCUCGCUAAUCAUACAUUCGGGACUCUGCCACCACCACUUGGUAUGGACAAGGAUAUACGUAGUUUGCCCAAACACCAUUUGACGAAGCUCAAUGAGCACUUAUGCUUCGUUUCCCAUAAUGUUUCGAACUCAUUUUACGACAUCUGGCUGCUACCCGAACAUGAAGAACGCGUCUGGAAUUUGCAUUGUAGACUAGACAUGAGCAAGGUGUCACCAGAUAUGACCAACCGGUUCGUGAAAUGGCCCAACCCACUCGUCACCAUCGACAAUGGUAGUCGCAUCCUCCUCGUACGACCCCGCUCGUUGGCCCACGAGAACAACUACUCCCGGAUGUGUGCAUACGACCCAAUGACGGGUGAUGUUGAUGACAUGUUCAAUGGAAGCGACAUGGUCUAUGACUCCAUCACAAGCACGACGGACGCUGCAGUGUACGAGGAAAGCAUCGUCUCCCCUAGGUGA
rnacentral:rRNA from 1 species